CUACGGGGUGCUCCAGUGGGGGAUAUUGCACAAUGGGCGAAAGCCUGAUGCAGCAACGCCGCGUGAAGGAAGACGGUUUUCGGAUUGUAAACUUCUAUCAGCAGGGAAGAAAAUGACUGUACCUGACUAAGAAGCCCCGGCUAACUACGUGCCAGCAGCCGCGGUAAUACGUAGGGGGCAAGCGUUAUCCGGAAUUACUGGGUGUAAAGGGUACGUAGGCGGCUGAUCAAGUCAGAUGUGAAAGCCCGGGGCUCAACCCCGGGACUGCAUUUGAAACUGGUUGGCUAGAGUGCAGGAGAGGAAAGUGGAAUUCCUAGUGUAGCGGUGAAAUGCGUAGAUAUUAGGAAGAACACCAGUGGCGAAGGCGGCUUUCUGGACUGUAACUGACGCUGAGGUACGAAAGCGUGGGGAGCGAACAGGAUUAGAUACCCGGGUAGUC
rnacentral:rRNA from 1 species